GAUGAACGCUGGCGGCGUGCCUAAUACAUGCAAGUCGAGCGAACAGACGAGGAGCUUGCUCCUCUGACGUUAGCGGCGGACGGGUGAGUAACACGUGGAUAACCUACCUAUAAGACUGGGAUAACUUCGGGAAACCGGAGCUAAUACCGGAUAAUAUAUUGAACCGCAUGGUUCAAUAGUGAAAGACGGUUUUGCUGUCACUUAUAGAUGGAUCCGCGCCGCAUUAGCUAGUUGGUAAGGUAACGGCUUACCAAGGCAACGAUGCGUAGCCGACCUGAGAGGGGGAUCGGCCACACUGGAACUGAGACACGGUCCAGACUCCUACGGGAGGCAGCAGUAGGGAAUCUUCCGCAAUGGGCGAAAGCCUGACGGAGCAACGCCGCGGGAGUGAUGAAGGUCUUCGGAUCGUAAAACUCUGUUAUUAGGGAAGAACAAAUGUGUAAGUAACUAUGCACGUCUUGACGGUACCGAAGCAGAAAGCCACGGCUAACUACGU
rnacentral:rRNA from 1 species